UGGGGAAUAUUGGGCAAUGGGGGCAACCCUGACCCAGCGACGCCGCGUGGGGGAAGACGGCCUUCGGGUUGUAAACCUCUUUUGUACGGGAAGAAGGAAGUGACGGUACUGUACAAAUAAGUCCCGGCUAACUACGUGCCAGCAGCCGCGGUAAUACGUAGGGGACGAGCGUUGUCCGGAAUUACUGGGCGUAAAGGGCGCGCAGGCUGUGCUGCAAGUCAGCUGUUAAAUGUCUGGGCUUAACCCGGGCAUGCGGUUGAGACUGCGGUGCUGGAGUGCUGUAGAGGCAAGUGGAAUUCCCAGUGUAGCGGUGAAAUGCGUAGAUAUUGGGAAGAACACCGGUGGCGAAGGCGACUUGCUGGGCAGCAACUGACGCUGAGGCGCGAAAGCCAGGGGAGC
rnacentral:rRNA from 1 species